AACCCGAGCACAAGCAGCAGCCAAACACGAGCACAACCAGCAGCCAAACGCGAGCACAACCAGCAGCCAAAAGCGAGCACAACCAGCAACUAAACGCGAGCACAACCAGCAGCCAAAAGCGAGCACAACCAGCAACCAAACGCGAGCACAACCAGCAGCCAAACGCGAGCACAAGUAGCAGCCAAACGCGAGCAAUUCCAGCAGCCAAACGCGAGCAGUUCCAACAUCCAAACGCGAGAUUUCAGCAGUUCCAACAGCACAAGUAGCAGCCAAACGUCGAUCGACAGCAGAUCCGGCAACUAGACUCGGUCUCGAUCCACGCACGAGCAGUUCCAGCAGCUUCCGGUAGCGUGAGCAGCAACUUCCGGCAGCCCCAGCAGCGUUCGGCGAGGCAAACCGUGAGUGUGUUAAAAGAUUUGUCUGAAAUCAGUGUGUGUGUGUGUGGGGUUUGUUUGUGUGUGUGAUGCGUGUGUGGGUUUUUAGUCAAUUCACUUGUUUUUAAUUUGUAAUUACGAUUUUAACCUUUUAAUGAUUUAACGGAACGAUUUUCGUUAGUCAAUUGGGGUUUGAGUGUCUUUUUUGAAACAUUAAGGGGUUUUAUGUCCCUUAUUCAAACGUUAGGGGUGUCUGUG
rnacentral:lncRNA from 1 species